GAUGAACGCUGGCGGCGUGCCUAAUACAUGCAAGUCGAGCGAACAGAUGAGGAGCUUGCUCCUCUGACGUUAGCGGCGGACGGGUGAGUAACACGUGGAUAACCUACCUAUAAGACUGGGAUAACUACGGGAAACCGGAGCUAAUACCGGAUAAUAUAUUGAACCGCAUGGUUCAAUAGUGAAAGACGGUUUUGCUGUCACUUAUAGAUGGAUCCGCGCCGCAUUAGCUAGUUGGUAGGGUAACGGCUUACCAAGGCAACGAUGCGUAGCCGACCUGAGAGGAUGAUCGGCCACACUGGAACUGAGACACGGUCCAGACUCCUACGGGAGGCAGCAGUAGGGAAUUUUGCGCAAUGGGCGAAAGCCUGACGGAGCAACGCCGCGUGAGUGAUGAAGGUCUUCGGAUCGUAAAACUCUGUUAUUAGGGAAGAACAAAUGUGUAAGUAACUAUGCACGUCUUGACGGUACCUAAUCAGAAAGCCACGGCUAACUACGUG
rnacentral:rRNA from 1 species